UUGUGCCCAGAGUUUGAUUUUCCACAGACCAGGUAGAGGCCAAGAGCCUCUCACAGACUCUGCAGCAGGGUUGCUAUGAUUAACUCUUAAGUACUCCACAACUACACGCUUUUGAAACUGGCGUUGGCAUAGCGUUAGUUCUGUGCAGGGCGGACGCAGCAGGACAGAAUCUCCCUGGGCAUCUUUUCGGAGCAUCAAUUUUACUGCAAAAUUUUGAAAAAACAAAUUUAAUUGAUUUCCAAGGUUUGUCAAGGAGGACAGAAACUCAGAGCACCCUGCACUUGGGGAUCGGCACUAGGAGCUGCUCUCUGGAUGGGGAGAUGGGAGCUAGCAGCUCACAAUGGGGUCACAAGACAGGAGUGUUAUUGGGAGAAUCCUGUUUUGUUGACAAAUACUGAGAUCAUCCAACUCACCAGGCAAAGUUGACUUGUGUAAGUGAUCUUCAGAUAUGAAAAGUGUGGAACCCAGCUGCUCCUCCUCAGAUAGGCGACAUGACAAUUGUAGGCCUGGAGGGAGAUGAGUUGACAACAUCCCUUCCCUAUAACCACUUGUUGGAUCUGAUCUCACAUACACAGACUCACUCCAAAGACUGACCUGGGUGUCUGCUUCUCAGCUUCAUUAACAGUGGGUGCUCACAAGUCUAGUAGUAACAGGAUCUUCUACACUGUAGCUGCUUCCAGUGUGAGCCAGACAAAUGUACUGAAUAUAGGCCUCAGAGGUGAUCCCACCACCUUCACAGCAAUGGUCCUUCCCCAGGAGCUUCCCCUGAGAAACGGGCCAUCCAGACCAUACUGCUGCUGAAUAAUGUCUCAUUGGAAAUCUCAACAUUCUUCAUUUAGAACACCACCGCCAAUAUCUACCAUAUGCCGGGAUUAUUGUGCAGG
rnacentral:lncRNA from 1 species